GAAACCUUAGUGAUGUGAUUAGGCGACUCUAAACAAGGAUAAUCCUCGGGGUUCACCCCCCGAGCACUAGCCGCCCUCCGUGGUGGGCGACAUUGCCAUUCUACGGGGACGUUCGCGCCGGUCGAGAACCGGUCGGGACCACCCGCAGCCACACUCGUGGCUCACAGGCUAAAUGGUAAUGGGCGUAGGUGCUGGGCACCCGCGCUUCAGAUAUAGUCGGUCCCCUAGACAUCUCUGGGGGGAGGAAACGUUCCGUAGGUGAACCUGCGGAAGGAUCAUUA
rnacentral:rRNA from 1 species